UACGGAGGUUGCGAGCGUUGUUCGGAAUCACUGGGCGUAAAGGGAGCGCAGGCGGCCAGGUGUGUCUGAAGUGAAAUCCCGAGGCUCAACCUCGGAACUGCUUCGGAUACUGCCCGGCUUGAGUACGCGAGAGGUGGGCGGAAUUCCAGGUGUAGCGGUGAAAUGCGCAGAUAUCUGGAGGAACACCCGUGGCGAAAGCGGCCCACUGGCGCGAAACUGACGCUGAGGCUCGAAAGCGUGGGGAGCAAACGGG
rnacentral:rRNA from 1 species